rnacentral:rRNA from 1 species
UACGGGGGGGGCAAGCGUUGUUCGGAAUUACUGGGCGUAAAGGGCUCGUAGGCGGCCAGCUAAGUCAGACGUGAAAUCCCUCGGCUCAACCGGGGAACUGCGUCUGAUACUGGAUGGCUUGAGUGUGGGAGAGGGAUGCGGAAUUCCAGGUGUAGCGGUGAAAUGCGUAGAUAUCUGGAGGAACACCGGUGGCGAAGGCGGCAUCCUGGACCACGACUGACGCUGAGGAGCGAAAGCCAGGGGAGCGAACGGG